UACGUAGGGGGCAAGCGUUAUCCGGAUUUAUUGGGUUUAAAGGGUGCGUAGGCGGGCUUUUAAGUCAGCGGUAAAAAUUCGGGGCUCAACCCCGUCCGGCCGUUGAAACUGGGGGUCUUGAGUGGGCGAGAAGAAGGCGGAAUGCGUGGUGUAGCGGUGAAAUGCAUAGAUAUCACGCAGAACCCCGGUUGCGAAGGCAGCCUUCCGGCGCCCUACUGACGCUGAGGCACGAAAGUGCGGGGAUCGAACAGG
rnacentral:rRNA from 1 species